UGAGGAAUAUUGGUCAAUGGGCGGGAGCCUGAACCAGCCAAGUCGCGUGAGGGAAGACGGUCCUAUGGAUUGUAAACCUCUUUUGUCGGGGAGCAAAGAGGCCACGUGUGGUCAAAAGCGAGAGUACCCGAAGAAAAAUGCAUCGGCUAACUCCGUGCCAGCAGCCGCGGUAAUACGGAGGAUGCGAGCGUUAUCCGGAUUUAUUGGGUUUAAAGGGUGCGUAGGCGGGACGGUAAGUCAGCGGUAAAAAGUGCGGAGCUCAACUCCGUCGAGCCGUUGAAACUGCCGUUCUUGAGUGAGCGAGAAGUAUGCGGAAUGCGUGGUGUAGCGGUGAAAUGCAUAGAUAUCACGCAGAACUCCGAUUGCGAAGGCAGCAUACCGGCGCUCAACUGACGCUGAAGCACGAAGGCGUGGGUAUCGAACAGGAUUAGAUACC
rnacentral:rRNA from 1 species